UUAAGCGACUAAGCGUACACGGUGGAUGCCCUGGCAGUCAGAGGCGAUGAAGGACGUGCUAAUCUGCGAUAAGCGUCGGUAAGGUGAUAUGAACCGUUAUAACCGGCGAUUUCCGAAUGGGGAAACCCAGUGUGAUUCGUCACACUAUCAUUAACUGAAUCCAUAGGUUAAUGAGGCGAACCGGGGGAACUGAAACAUCUAAGUACCCCGAGGAAAAGAAAUCAACCGAGAUUCCCCCAGUAGCGGCGAGCGAACGGGGAGCAGCCCAGAGCCUGAAUCAGUGUGUGUGUUAGUGGAAGCGUCUGGAAAGGCGUGCGAUACAGGGUGACAGCCCCGUACACAAAAAUGCACAUACUGUGAGCUCGAUGAGUAGGGCGGGACACGUGGUAUCCUGUCUGAAUAUGGGGGGACCAUCCUCCAAGGCUAAAUACUCCUGACUGACCGAUAGUGAACCAGUACCGUGAGGGAAAGGCGAAAAGAACCCCGGCGAGGGGAGUGAAAAAGAACCUGAAACCGUGUACGUACAAGCAGUGGGAGCACGCUUAGGCGUGUGACUGCGUACCUUUUGUAUAAUGGGUCAGCGACUUAUAUUCUGUAGCAAGGUUAACCGAAUAGGGGAGCCGAAGGGAAACCGAGUCUUAACUGGGCGUUAAGUUGCAGGGUAUAGACCCGAAACCCGGUGAUCUAGCCAUGGGCAGGUUGAAGGUUGGGUAACACUAACUGGAGGACCGAACCGACUAAUGUUGAAAAAUUAGCGGAUGACUUGUGGCUGGGGGUGAAAGGCCAAUCAAACCGGGAGAUAGCUGGUUCUCCCCGAAAGCUAUUUAGGUAGCGCCUCGUGAAUUCAUCUCCGGGGGUAGAGCACUGUUUCGGCAAGGGGGUCAUCCCGACUUACCAACCCGAUGCAAACUGCGAAUACCGGAGAAUGUUAUUACGGGAGACACACGGCGGGUGCUAACGUCCGUCGUGAAGAGGGAAACAACCCAGACCGCCAGCUAAGGUCCCAAAGUCAUGGUUAAGUGGGAAACGAUGUGGGAAGGCCCAGACAGCCAGGAUGUUGGCUUAGAAGCAGCCAUCAUUUAAAGAAAGCGUAAUAGCUCACUGGUCGAGUCGGCCUGCGCGGAAGAUGUAACGGGGCUAAACCAUGCACCGAAGCUGCGGCAGCGACGCUUAUGCGUUGUUGGGUAGGGGAGCGUUCUGUAAGCCUGUGAAGGUGUGCUGUGAGGUAUGCUGGAGGUAUCAGAAGUGCGAAUGCUGACAUAAGUAACGAUAAAGCGGGUGAAAAGCCCGCUCGCCGGAAGACCAAGGGUUCCUGUCCAACGUUAAUCGGGGCAGGGUGAGUCGACCCCUAAGGCGAGGCCGAAAGGCGUAGUCGAUGGGAAACAGGUUAAUAUUCCUGUACUUGGUGUUACUGCGAAGGGGGACGGAGAAGGCUAUGUUGGCCGGGCGACGGUUGUCCCGGUUUAAGCGUGUAGGCUGGUUUUCCAGGCAAAUCCGGAAAAUCAAGGCCGAGGCGUGAUGACGAGGCACUACGGUGCUGAAGCAACAAAUGCCCUGCUUCCAGGAAAAGCCUCUAAGCAUCAGGUAACAUCAAAUCGUACCCCAAACCGACACAGGUGGUCAGGUAGAGAAUACCAAGGCGCUUGAGAGAACUCGGGUGAAGGAACUAGGCAAAAUGGUGCCGUAACUUCGGGAGAAGGCACGCUGAUACGUAGGUGAAGCGACUUGCUCGUGGAGCUGAAAUCAGUCGAAGAUACCAGCUGGCUGCAACUGUUUAUUAAAAACACAGCACUGUGCAAACACGAAAGUGGACGUAUACGGUGUGACGCCUGCCCGGUGCCGGAAGGUUAAUUGAUGGGGUUAGCGCAAGCGAAGCUCUUGAUCGAAGCCCCGGUAAACGGCGGCCGUAACUAUAACGGUCCUAAGGUAGCGAAAUUCCUUGUCGGGUAAGUUCCGACCUGCACGAAUGGCGUAAUGAUGGCCAGGCUGUCUCCACCCGAGACUCAGUGAAAUUGAACUCGCUGUGAAGAUGCAGUGUACCCGCGGCAAGACGGAAAGACCCCGUGAACCUUUACUAUAGCUUGACACUGAACAUUGAGCCUUGAUGUGUAGGAUAGGUGGGAGGCUUUGAAGUGUGGACGCCAGUCUGCAUGGAGCCGACCUUGAAAUACCACCCUUUAAUGUUUGAUGUUCUAACGUGGACCCGUGAUCCGGGUUGCGGACAGUGUCUGGUGGGUAGUUUGACUGGGGCGGUCUCCUCCUAAAGAGUAACGGAGGAGCACGAAGGUUGGCUAAUCCUGGUCGGACAUCAGGAGGUUAGUGCAAUGGCAUAAGCCAGCUUGACUGCGAGCGUGACGGCGCGAGCAGGUGCGAAAGCAGGUCAUAGUGAUCCGGUGGUUCUGAAUGGAAGGGCCAUCGCUCAACGGAUAAAAGGUACUCCGGGGAUAACAGGCUGAUACCGCCCAAGAGUUCAUAUCGACGGCGGUGUUUGGCACCUCGAUGUCGGCUCAUCACAUCCUGGGGCUGAAGUAGGUCCCAAGGGUAUGGCUGUUCGCCAUUUAAAGUGGUACGCGAGCUGGGUUUAGAACGUCGUGAGACAGUUCGGUCCCUAUCUGCCGUGGGCGCUGGAGAACUGAGGGGGGCUGCUCCUAGUACGAGAGGACCGGAGUGGACGCAUCACUGGUGUUCGGGUUGUCAUGCCAAUGGCACUGCCCGGUAGCUAAAUGCGGAAGAGAUAAGUGCUGAAAGCAUCUAAGCACGAAACUUGCCCCGAGAUGAGUUCUCCCUGACCCUUUAAGGGUCCUGAAGGAACGUUGAAGACGACGACGUUGAUAGGCCGGGUGUGUAAGCGCAGCGAUGCGUUGAGCUAACCGGUACUAAUGAACCGUGAGGCUUAACCUU
rnacentral:rRNA from 1 species